rnacentral:misc_RNA from 1 species
AAGAGUUGCAAAAACUCCCACAAACCAUCGCGAACGUUACCCAGACGUCGUUGCUUCGGCGGGCUCGCCCGCCGGGGGGACGCUACCAGACUCUUGCAGUUCUUCGGCCUCUCUGAGUAUGAUUUUUUAAAUAAGUCA